CCCACCCCUAAGGAGUGCAGACCUCUGUGUGUAGUUUUCUGAAUAACUCAUCUAGCCCAGUUUUAACACACAGAGGAUGGAUGCUGGAGGAACCAUGACUACAAGCAGUUCAGAAGCAGAGAAUACCUGGACAAAAGAAACUUUUCUGCUCCACUGUCAGCUUCUUACCAGCAACACUGAGAUCAGCUAGUAAGAACACAUGUUGACAAGGAUUUUAUAAUACAUUUUUCAGAGCAAUUUAAAGACCCAUGGAAAGAUAAAACUCAAGACACUGGUAUCACUGCAUCUUCUUGAACAGGAGCAGCUAAUGUUAAUCACAGGAUUAUUUGUGUUUGAGGACACUAGAACUAAAGACAUUCUGUGACAAAAAGUGUUGAAUUAUUAAUGCCAGAUCCCAGGCUGGUUUCAAAUGGCUGCUACAUUUACAAGGGUGAAGAAGAUCAUCUUCUUUCAUGUGGGUCAUUAAACUUCUGAAACCACUUCAGAUUCAUAUGUAGCUCUUUCAGAACCUUUGGAAAGAUAAUUUCCUUCUGAGGCCCACAUCCUUUAUCUGGACAUGCAGCUAAAGACUUAACCAUGUUUCUGGACAUCAUAUUCGUGAUCAUAUCAAAUGUUUGUUGCUCUGUGAGCCCUGAUGACAAUCUGGCAGUGAUGUAGCACUAACCCUUCCAUGAGACAUACCAACCAGAGAAGCUGAAAAGGUUGGUCUUAUACUGCUGCACACAAUGCAGACUUGCUGGAAAGAAGUGUGGCUGUAAAGCACAAUUGAAGUACAGCUAGAUUUAGAAAUUCUGCUAGUGUUGCAUUGUUUGAAACAGCAAUUCCCUGUGGUAUAAAGAAAAUUUAGAAAUUGGUUCUUUGUGCAGUCAAGCAAGAUCCUUUGAAGAGCAAAACACUCUUGGAAAAGAGAAGAAAAAGAGAAAAAAUGAAUGGAAGAACACAGAAUAAAAAGACCAAAAAUUAUAUAAAAGAGAAGAAAGAUGAACCAAAACCUUCUGAUUCUUAUGCCAUGGGCACAAUGCAGCUGUGGUGGUUACAGACUGGGAAAAUCUGCCAGAUUCCUAUGGUUUAUAAAGGGGGCAGUACCAAAUUACCAAACUGGCCAGCAACAUGGGGGUGUUUUGCCACAAACAUUGGGUGAAGGUUUUCCUUGGAAACUAGAAAAGAACAGGAAGUUAAUCACACUCUCAAGGUUAAUUUUUUUUCAUGUGGAGGAUGUUUUUGUCUCAACCUACUUUCAGUGCUUGACAAUUACUGAUCUAUGAGAGCCUCCAGCAGGGUUUUUCCAGUUCACAUUUACUUAAUACUUCAGAAGAGCCAGUGGCUGCAAGAACAGGCAUGAAGAAAAGCAGUUUUUCCUUUUGCAAAUCAUUAUAUUGAAGAUGGGUUUCAAUUAAGAUUCCACAUGAAAUUCUUUGUCUGAUAGACUGAUCUUUGAUG